CCUACGGGUGGCAGCAGUGAGGAAUAUUGGUCAAUGGGCGCGAGCCUGAACCAGCCAAGUAGCGUGAAGGAUGACUGCCCUACGGGUUGUAAACUUCUUUUAUAAAGGAAUAAAGUGAGGCUCGUGUGCCUUGUUGUUUGUAUUUUAUGAAUAAGGAUCGGCGAACUCUGUGUCAGCAGCCGCGGUAAUACGUAGGGGGCCAGCGUUAUCUGGAUUUACUGGGUGUAAAGGGGGCGCAGACGGCAGCGCAAGCCAGGAGUGAAAGCCCGGGGCCCAACCCCGGGACUGCAGGUGUAACUGGAGGGCUUGAGUGCAGAAGGGGAAGGCGGAAUUCAUGGUGUAGCGGUGAAAUGCGUAGAUAUCAGAAGGAACACCGGUGGCGAAGGC
rnacentral:rRNA from 1 species